rnacentral:rRNA from 14 species
UAAGUAGGGCGGGACACGUGAAAUCCUGUCUGAAGAUCGGAGGACCACCUUCGAAGGCUAAGUACUCCUUACUGACCGAUAGCGAACCAGUACCGUGAGGGAAAGGUGAAAAGCACCCCGACAAGGGGAGUGAAAUAGUACCUGAAACUGGAUGCCUACAAACAGUGGGAGGCCGCAAGGCUGACCGCGUACCUUUUGUAUAAUGGGUCAACGACUUAGUGUAGCAAGCAAGCUUAAGCCGAUAGGUGUAGGCGUAGCGAAAGCGAGUCUUAAUAGGGCGAAUAGUUUGUUGCAUUAGACCCGAAACCAAGUGAUCUAGCCAUGAGCAGGUUGAAGGUUGGGUAACACCAACUGGAGGACCGAACCCAUACACGUUGCAAUGUGUCGGGAUGACUUGUGGCUAGGGGUGAAAGGCCAAUCAAACUUGGAAAUAGC